rnacentral:rRNA from 1 species
CCGUGAGGGAAAGUUGCAAAGAACUUUGAAGAGAGAGUUCAAGAGGGCGUGAAACCGCUGAGAAGGAAACGGAUAGAGUUGACGAAACACAGCGGCAUUCAUCCGACCUGUCCUGGCAACUGGCUGCCCGGUAUAGAUCGUUCUCCUCGGGGAAUGACGGUCUGGCUGUCAGCUUAGUCGGCUGGUUGGUGCUUUUGCCGUUGGUAUGCGCGGAGACGUUCGCUGUGGCGUGUCGACGUCGAUGUCAGAGGACCAGUGCCAAAUGGUACUGGAAACCUGACUCGGCUUAGGUAUGUUCGCGGUGAAACGGUAACCACAUACGCCGCUUGCUAGUUGCGUAGCUGCCUCUGCAUAGUUGGGUGCGUUGUUGGGCGAUCGCGUGCGAUUUGUCUACAGCUGUAUUCCGGCUUGUUUCUGGCUAGUUACGUUGGCGGUGUAUCUCCGUGUAAAAGUCAGCCACCUAUCCGACCCGUCUUGAAACACGGACCAAGGAGUUUAGCAUAUGCGCAAGUCAUUGGGUGGUAAACCUAAAGGCGUAAUGAAAGUAAAGACUGCUUCGAGCGGUUGAUAUGGGAUCUGUGCUUGCUUGCAGGCGCAGCGCACCAUAGCCCCGUUCUUGUUGCUUGCAAUAGGGCGGAGGUAGAGCGUAUACGCUGAGACCCGAAAGAUGGUGAACUAUGCCUGAGCAGGAUGAAGCCAGAGGAAACUCUGGUGGAAGUCCGAAGCGGUUCUGACGUGCAAAUCGAUCGUCUGACUUGGGUAUAGGGCGA